UACGUAGGGUGCAAGCGUUGUCCGAAAUUAUUGGGCGUAAAGAGCUCGUAGGCGGUUUGUCGCGUCUGCUGUGAAAACUCGGGGCUUAACUCCGGGCCUGCAGUGGGUACGGGCAGACUAGAGUGCGGUAGGGGAGACUGGAAUUCCUGGUGUAGCGGUGAAAUGCGCAGAUAUCAGGAGGAACACCGGUGGCGAAGGCGGGUCUCUGGGCCGUAACUGACGCUGAGGAGCGAAAGCGUGGGGAGCGAACAGG
rnacentral:rRNA from 1 species